AACAAACGCUGGCGGCGUGCCUAAUACAUGCAAGUCGAACGGGGAAAGCUUUCGGGUGAGUACUAGUGGCGCACGGGUGAGUAACGCGUGGAUAAUCUGCCUUAGAGUGGGGGAUAACCAGUCGAAAGAUUGGCUAAUACCGCAUAAGACCACAAGAGCUGCGGCUCAAGGGGUCAAAGGUUUUUCGCUUUAAGAUGAGUCCGCGUAAGAUUAGCUAGUUGGUAGGGUAAUGGCCUACCAAGGCGACGAUCUUUAACUGGUCUGAGAGGAUGAUCAGUCACACUGGAACUGAGACACGGUCCAGACCCCUACGGGAGGCAGCAGUAGGGAAUAUUGCACAAUGGAGGAAACUCUGAUGCAGCGACGCCGCGUGAGUGAUGAAGGCCUUCGGGUCGUAAAGCUCUGUCGCAGGGGAAUAACACAAUGAAUGUACCCUGUAAGAAAGGAUCGGCUAACUUCGUGCCAGCCGCCGCUGUAAAAC
rnacentral:rRNA from 1 species